rnacentral:rRNA from 1 species
GACGAACGCUGGCGGCGUGCCUAAUACAUGCAAGUCGAGCGAAGUUUUUCUGGUGCUUGCACUAGAAAAACUUAGCGGCGAACGGGUGAGUAACACGUAAAGAACCUGCCUCAUAGACUGGGACAACUAUUGGAAGCGAUAGCUAAUACCGGAUAACAGUAUUUCUCGCAAGAGAGAUAUUUAAAAGUUGGUUAUGCUAACACUAUGAGAUGGCUUUGCGGUGCAUUAGCUAGUUGGUGGGGUAAAGGCCCACCAAGGCGACGAUGCAUAGCCGACCUGAGAGGGUGAUCGGCCACACUGGGACUGAGACACGGCCCAGACUCCUACGGGAGGCAGCAGUAGGGAAUCUUCCGCAAUGGGCGAAAGCCUGACGGAGCAACGCCGCGUGAGUGAAGAAGGAUUUCGGUUCGUAAAGCUCUGUUGUUAGGGAAGAAUGGAUAUGUAGUAACUAUACAUGUAAGAGACGGUACCUAACCAGAAAGCCACGGCUAACUACGUG